UGUAUCCGAAUAUAAUAAGCGGAUUCAGUGUAGGAUUAUUAAUAAAUCUUACAUCACCUCCACCAGGCGCCCAUGUAUCAUAAACACCGCCAACAAAUAAAGCUUUUAUAACUAAUAAGAAAGAACCUAUACCAAGUAGAAUUAAAUGAAUUCCUAGUAUAGUAGUCAUUUUAUUCUUAUCUCUCCA
rnacentral:antisense_RNA from 1 species